AUGAGCAAUUUUGCUCUGCCACAGGCUCUUGUCACCAUGAUGUUCUGCCUCACCAUAGCCCCACAGCUAUAGAUCAAGCUGGCCAUGGACUGGAACCUCUGAAUCUGUGAGUCAAGGGACCUAUCCCCAGAUACAGUCACAUUGCAGCUCAGCCCUCUCUACCCAUG